UACGUAGGGUCCAAGCGUUAAUCGGAAUUACUGGGCGUAAAGCGUGCGCAGGCGGUUUUGUAAGCCAGAUGUGAAAGCCCCGGGCUUAACCUGGGAAUGGCAUUUGGGACUGCAAGGCUUGAGUGCGGCAGAGGAGACUGGAAUUCCUGGUGUAGCAGUGAAAUGCGUAGAUAUCAGGAGGAAUACCGAUGGCGAAGGCAGGUCUCUGGGCUGACACUGACGCUCAUGCACGAAAGCGUGGGGAGCAAACAGG
rnacentral:rRNA from 1 species